rnacentral:lncRNA from 1 species
UGCCAUAUUAAUUACUCCAAAAGAGUAAUCUAAGGGCAUGUUUGGUUCAUGAUUGGAAUAGAAAUGAAAAAUGAAAUUGAAUCGUUUUGGAAUGAGAAAUAGAAUGACAAAUCAUUCAAAAAUAUUUGGUUCAUUAUUCGAAUGGAAAUCGGAAUGAAAAUUUUAGAAUUUUUUAGAGAGGGCUUUGAUUAAUUAAGUAAGAGGAAAAUAAUGAAGGGGGAGGAGUUAGAUGUUAGUAAAAGAGAAUUUUGAAUAGUUUACUUUGGAAUAGGCCAAUUCAGAAUUCAAAACCGGAUUAAGCCAUAAAUGAAUUGGCAAUUUCCAUUUCAGAGUGAAAUGGGAAUGAGAAUCUGAUUCCUAUAAAACAAACGACAACUAUUGAAAUCAAUGAAUUACAUACCUAUUUCAUAGUCUAAACUAGGUGAACCAAACAUAUAUACUCUAGGAGAAAAUUGCUCAGAAAAAAAACUAUUAACUAGUGUUUGCUUGAGAGCGAUAGAUCGAGCUAAAAUAGUGGUUGUAUUUUUAUUCUGAUUAUGUGGACUUGUUUUGACAUGCUGCCCAUUAAUUGUACCUACUAGUUAAAAUACAAUACUGAAAAUUUCUCCAUUAAAUGGGGAACGAGGGAAACUAGACUAAGAAUCUCGUAAUGUGAAACAACUAUUGUACUCUAAAAACUUAAAUUAUUAAAGAAUGAUGUUUAUAUAUUUUUGUAUUUAAUACUAUUCCUCACGUCUGGACUCAAAAAUUUUUUUUGUAAGGCCCAUGACGUGGUCUUGAAUUAAAUGAGAGAAAAUUAAUAAUACUAGGAGUCUGGCCAUAACUCGAACUCAGGAUCUUCUGCUCUGAUAUCAUGUGAAACAACUGUUGUACUCUAAAAAAUACUUAAGCUAUUAGAUAACGGUGUUUAUAUAUCUUUAUAUUUAACACAUAAAGGAGAAAACUUAGAACUGACUCCCAUAUCAUCUUAGUCGAAAGAGUGAACUAAUAGAAAAUCGCUCAGAUAUAGACUAAUUUGCUAGUGUUUGCUUGAGAGAGAGAUCAAGCUGAAAAAUCGUAGAUAUUGUUAAAUAUAAAAAUAUAUAAACAUCGUUCUUUAAUAGUUUAAGUAUUUAGAGUACAACGAUUGUUUUACAUCGUAUCAAAGAAAUAGGUCAUAAGUUCGAGUCAUACCAGAUUCCUAGCAUUAUUAAUUUUCUCUCAUUUAAUUUAAGUUCACGCCGUGGGCCUUACAAAAAGUCUUGAGCCCUGAGAGGGAGUGUCUUAAGCUUCUAAACUACAACGAUUGUUUCACAGAUAUCUCAUCAUCUUACAAAAAGUCUCGAGCCUUGAGGGGGUGUCUUGAGUUUCUAGACUACAACGGUUGUUUUACAGAUAUCUCACCAUCUAUUUCCACAGAUAGGCGCUUAUCCCCACUACUCCAAAUUAAAAAAAAAAAUUGCCUAAAGGAUCUUCAUUCUUCUUAAGAAUUAAAAAUCCCCACCUUUUUUAUUUUUCUCACUUGCCAAACAAUAUUUUCAACAACCCAAAAAAAAAGCUUUUCUCACUUUCCAUAACUUUA